rnacentral:misc_RNA from 1 species
UGGUUCUGGCAUCGAUGAAGAACGCAGCGAAAUGCGAUAAGUAAUGUGAAUUGCAGAAUUCCGUGAAUCAUCGAAUCUUUGAACGCACAUUGCGCCCAUCAGUAUUCUGAUGGGCAUGCCUGUUCGAGCGUCAUUUCAACCCUCAAGCCCCCCGGGGCUUGGUGUUGGGGAUCGGCCCGCCCCUCGCGGCGGCGCCGGCCCCGAAAUCUAGUGGCGGUCUCGCUGUAGCCUCCUCUGCGUAGUAGCAACACCUCGCACCGGAACGCAGCGCGGCCACGCCGUUAAACCCCCCACUUCUGAAGGUUGACCUCGGAUCAGGUAGGAAUACCCGCUGA